AGUGAACGCUGGCGGUAGGCCUAACACAUGCAAGUCGAACGGCAGCACAGUAAGAGCUUGCUCUUACGGGUGGCGAGUGGCGGACGGGUGAGGAAUACAUCGGAAUCUACUUUUUCGUGGGGGAUAACGUAGGGAAACUUACGCUAAUACCGCAUACGACCUACGGGUGAAAGCAGGGGAUCUUCGGACCUUGCGCGAUUGAAUGAGCCGAUGUCGGAUUAGCUAGUUGGCGGGGUAAAGGCCCACCAAGGCGACGAUCCGUAGCUGGUCUGAGAGGAUGACCAGCCAAACUGGAACUGAGCACCGGUCCAGACCCCAACGGGAGGCAGCAGUGGGGAAUAUGGGAAAAUGGGCGCAAGCCUGAUCCAGCCAUCCCGGGGGGGUGAAGAAGGCCUUCGGGUUGAAAAGCCCUUUUGUGGGGAAAGAAAAGCAGCGGGUUAAUACCCCGCUGUUCUGACGGUACCAAAAGAAUAAGCACCGGCUAAUUUCGU
rnacentral:rRNA from 1 species